AGCGAACGUUUGCGGCGGGCUUAACACAUGCAAGUCGAACGGGCUGUUCCUUCGGGGCAGUCAGUGGCGCACGGGUGCGUAACACGUAGGUAAUCAACCCUCUGGUUGGGGAUAACACUUCGAAAGGAGUGCUAAUACCCGGUAUGGCGCAGCGGUCUUCGGAUCGCGGCGAGGAAGACCCGCAAGGGUUGCCAGAGGACGAGCCUGCGGCCCAUCAGCUAGUUGGCGAGGUAACGGCUCACCAAGGCGAAGACGGGUAGCUGGUCUGAGAGGAUGAUCAGCCACACUGGAACUGAGACACGGUCCAGACUCCUACGGGAGGCAGCAGUGGGGAAUAUUGCGCAAUGGGCGAAAGCCUGACGCAGCCACGCCGCGUGAGCGAUGAAGGCCUGGUCGUAAGACGUCUGUGGGAGGAGAAGAAGUAAAGACCUGUGAAGAGACAGGCCUUGACGGUAGUCUCCUUA
rnacentral:rRNA from 1 species